AGGCUGAUUAAAAAAACUUGCUUUUUUAUGUUAAGUGCUAUAUUAAUCUUGCAGUAAGUAUUUUGUCUUCUAAUCUGGACAUUUAAUUUUUUCUCAAAGACUCAAAUUCAAUUUUGAAUAAAAUGCCUUAGAAAUGUCAAACAUUUGUAUUAAAAAUGUAUUAGCAAUGAAUAUUAAAAAAAAAUUCUUCACUUGAGACUAGUUAUUAUGCAAUUUAUAUGUGUCAGUUUUAGCUAGUAUGAGAUUGUUUUCUUCAGAGUGUCUGCUAUGAUGCUGUGUUUUGGUUCUAGGAGUAAAACAAUACUGAUAAAACACCAAUGUUUAUGUAUAUUGCUAAGUGUAGAUCCAAGGUCUUUCCAGUUUCUCAGCUCAUACUAAUGAAGGUCUGGGUGGGGACAGAAUCAGGGUAACUGACUUAAGCUCGCCAAAGGAGCAUUCCAUACCAUGUGACAUCAUGAGGAAGGAGAGUUUUGAAGGGGGCAGGAAUCUGUCUCUCUCACUUCUGCUGGUUGGGCAGCUAGCAGGGCAUAUGUCAGGGAGUGCUCACAGGAUAGGGAGAAGAGUGAGUGAAUAACUAUGUGGUGCUUAGACACCUGCUGAGUUAAACACAACAGUCAAUCUAGUGCCCAACAUGGAGCCCAAAGGGUUCAGAAAAAGAACUCGGAAAUGAAGGCAAGAUGAGAUAUAUAAGAAAAAGAAGAAGGAAAUGCUCUUGCACAGAAUACACAAUCAAAUUACAGAAUUCAUUAUCAUGUAAGGAUAUGGACAUGAAGUAUAGACAUAUUUUAAAAAAAAUUAGGACAUAUUCAUGGAAGCUACCCACAUAUUAAACAUCAUAUUACAAAGUCAUUGUCCAAAUCUCAAAGUUUUGUUUAUUACUGUAAAACAAUAUAAUAUCUUUUAUACAGAUUACUAUACAAAUUCCUUUACUUAAACUCUUUCCCUACAGGCCAGGUAGAACUUUAAUCUCUCUAAGCACCUCAUAUCUCUUGUUUCAUUAAUGUCUAUCAUCUAAUACUCAGUAGCAAAAAUACAUCUUUUGUGUCUAGUGAAUGCUUGAAGACUGAAUACCUAGUUAGAGAGAAAGCAUAUUUUACUUUUACAAGUAUACUUUACAUCAUUUCAUUGAUUUACUUUAGUGUUGCAAAAAAUUCCAUGAAACACUGUAAAAUAUCAGGUAAAAUCCUCCCUUAUGAUGAUGUAUUUGAUAAUUUUUAGAGCAUAAUGGAUUAUUAAUAUAUUUUUAUUGUAAGACACAGUUCUGGUUCAGAAAAUAGCUUCCUCAAUAUGUAAAAUUGCCAUUACCAGUGAUAAACCAGAAAUUAAACCUAUCAUUUUAGGAAUUCUACCUCUGGCAUAUAGAAGCAUACUUGGUUAGUGGAGGACAUGACUACGUGAGCCUAGGCUAAGGCCUACAUGCUGUGGUGCUUGUUAUAC